ensembl:lncRNA
UCCCUCUCUCCUUCCCUUCCUCCCUUCAUCAAGUGAUGUCACUUGAUGUCAUAGUGGCUGUCACUAUGCCCCAGGCACAUGCCUGGUCGCUAAAGAAACAGACAAAAGCUGUCUUUGCCUUCAGGAAGUUUAAAGUCAUAGGGGUGAAUUUAAAGGAACUCACACGUGCAUCAGGCUCUAUAAAAUAAGCAGGUGCACAUCACUAUGCAGCACAGAAAACAUACCCCGGUGUAUUUGGUAUUUGAAGAAAGCUUCAGACAGCACUGUUGGCUGAACCCUAUUGUACUAGGAACUCAACAUAAAGGGGCGAAGAAAACUGCAGUGCACGUCAAAAGGGCGGCAGAUGAAGAGACAAGAGAACCCCAAAGGAUACGAUUUGUUCUGUGUUCUGCAUGCGGUUAUGCGACUAAAUGAACACUGGGAUGACCGGCAUGCUCUUCUACUUGACGUCAGCCAAAAGACUGGACCAAAUCCCUGAAGCUGCCAUUCUGGGAAGAAACAUCAAAUGCAGCCUCCUUUUUACACACCUAGUUGUAUUUCAAGGCUCCGGGAUUAUGGUAGGGAGACACUUGCAACAAUAUGCAUCAUCUCCAGUGGUGCAUGGCAUUAAGAUGCACUCCACCAACACCGGGUCCCAAACCCCAUCGCACUGAUGUGGCAUCAGCCCCUACUUACUGACAUUGAUUUCUCUCCUUGUUUCUGUUCCCAAACAAAAUUUCCCAUUCUCUUUGAAGAUUAACCAUGUACAUAUUUCACCGUGUUUGUAUUGUGAGGGGGACAUGUGCAUGUCAGCUCAGGCUCUCAUCAGAACUGAGCUUUGAAAUUUGAUUUCCAUAGUAUAAAGUCUGCCUUUUAUUACUUUCAGUACAGAAAUGUAUUCUGUCACUGGAUUUAAAUUCGCCUGCAAUCCUGCCAUAGAACAUCCACUUCUCUUUAAUUUUUACUUUUUAUUCAUGUUCUGUUAAAUUUUAAUUGGAUCCUGUUGAAUUCUCAACUCAACUUGAUUUUCUCAGUGGGAUCUUGGGGCUCUUAUUAUAGAAGCUAUGUCUAUGAGCAUAGCAUUAAAAAACGACAAAGAAAUUAAAAUUGUCUCCUGGACUCUGCAACAGGUAAUUUCUAGAAAUAGAUUUUGCUUCUAAGUAUUUACAUAAUACAUUUUAAAAUCUGGUUCUGCCAUGUAUUUACCAAUGACACCUAUUAUUUUUUUUCCUUAAACAUUUUCCUUGGACAUCUAAGAUUUCUAUCAGUGAUGUAUUAACUUGAGCCCUUUUCCACACACUACCGUUGGGGAAUGGCCCCAAUUCUCCUUCAGUUCUGUAAAUUCUCAAUUGCUUGAAGUACACUGCUUCUAUCAAACGCUCACCUCAUAAAAGAAUCUGUUCUGUUAUUGUAACUCCAGUUUAGAGAUGCAGUGUUUCCUUCAUGGCCUUGUCUUUGUAUAAUUUAAAUAUAUAUUUAGUGUUUAUUUAUUUUUGAGACAGAGCAUAUCAGGGGGAGGGUGAGAGAGAGGGGUAGACACAGAAUCUGAAACAGGCUCCACGCUCUGAGCUGUCAGCACAGAGCCCAACACGGGGCUCGAACUCACAGACUGCGAGAUCAUGACCUGAGACGAAGUCAGACGCUUAACCGACUGAGCCACCCAGGUGCCCCAAUUUAAAUAUAUAUUUAAACUAAAUAUUCGUUCAGCAUGAAUCAAAACUAGCAUAGCUACCUUGCUCCAAUCUUGCUGGUUUUACUUGGAAUAAAUCCUGCAUUUCCUAAGAUGCCA